GCUCUUUAAAAAUUAACCGAUAGAGUCUAUAUAUGUCCUGCCGGCUUGUCCGGCUAUGACGCUAAACGCUUUGCGGAAUAAACGUUGCGGACCCGGGGGCGGUACCCGGCGCCUCCACCAGGAGUACAUCUGGAAGCGAAUCAUGUUUUGCAGGUGCACUGCUGAUGGGGGCGAAAUAGGAUCGACGCGCGUAAUAAAGGCACGGUUUGCGUUCGGCAUGGCUCCACCGAUAUCGGGCCAUUUCUACAAGUGCCAAUGAUAAUGAAAUGGUGCUCGCUGCUUAAUUGAAUAAGCAAGCGCGGUUUCGGGGGGCACCGGGCAACAGAAGCCCCCCACU
rnacentral:tmRNA from 1 species